GCUGGGUGUGGUGGUGUGUGACUGUCAUCCCAGCUACUCAGGAGGUGGAAGGAUCACUUGAGUCCAGGAGUUCUGGGCUGCAGUGUGCUAUGCUAAUCGGGUGUCUACACUAAGUUUGGCAUCAAUAUGGUGACCUCCCAGGACUGGGGGACCACCAGGUUGCUUAAGGAAGGGUGAACUUGCCCAGGUUGGACAUGGAGCUGGUCAAAACUCCCUUGCUGAUCAAGAAUGCCUUCUUUUGCCUUUGAUUGCCUCCUGUCAGCCAGUCCCUCUUUGCCUUUAAAUGGAAAGACCC
rnacentral:SRP_RNA from 1 species